CCCUUAGAUGUUCUGGGCCGCACGCGCGCUACACUGUCGAAUGCAACGAGCUUAUAACCUUGGCCGAAAGGUCUGGGUAAUCUCCAAAUUUCGUCGUGAUGGGGAUAGAUUAUUGCAAUUAUUAAUCUUCAACGAGGAAUGCCUAGUAAGCGCAAGUCAUCAGCUUGCGUUGAUUACGUCCCUGCCCUUUGUACACACCGCCCGUCGCUCCUACCGAUUGAAUGGUCCGGUGAAGCGUUCGGACCGUGGCCUUUGGACGGUUCGCCGUCUGUUGGCUGCGGGAAGUUCGUUAAACCUUAUCAUUUAGAGGAAGGAGAAGUCGUAACA
rnacentral:rRNA from 1 species